rnacentral:tRNA from 1 species
GCUCGCGUCGGUCAGGUGGUGACACCACCUCUCGGUUGGUAAGGGAGAGGUCGAGAGUUCAAAUCUCUCCGGCAGCACCA